GUGCGCGUGGUGCGCGUGGUGCGCGGCAGUCUGGACUUCGAACUCGAAUGCCGACCCCGGUUCGACUACGGGCGCGCCCCCCA
rnacentral:tRNA from 1 species